rnacentral:misc_RNA from 1 species
GCUGUUUGCAAUGCUGUUGUUGUUGCACGGUUGCUGAAUUCAACUCUUGUUGUUCCUAAAUUUAUGUACAGUAGUGUCUGGAGAGAUAUGAGUCAAUUCAGCGAUAUCUAUCAGGAGGAGCAUUUUAUUAAUUACCUGACUCCUGAUAUUCGGAUAGUGAAGGAACUUCCUGAGGACCUGCAAUCACUAGACUUGGAGGCGAUUGGUAGUGUUGUGACUGAUGUAGAUAUUAGGAAGGAGUCUAAGCCAAGC